GGGUGGAAUUUUCCACAGCGACACUCGAUGACGUAGAGAUUUUGUGUGGCUAGUUGUUUGGUCAAGCAAUAGACAGAUUGAUUUCAGCCGUCGACGUUUUCAUCUACAUUUCAUUCUGUAUUUAACCAUUUGCUAGGUUUCUCUACGAAAAUUGCAUUGAAACAUUUAAAUGUUAUCUCGAAAUUGAUUGAAUUUCAUUACAUAAUCUAGUUUACGAGCAGAAUCGGAUUCCUAGCGCCGAGUCGACUAAAUUCAACGUAAAUUCGCAUUACGAUGCACACCAAGAAGACUGACGGGAAGGAUUCACAUGUUCAAAUGGCCCAUGCCCCUCUGAGUGAAGGGCUAAGUUUGAUCUUUGAUCAGGAUGCCCAAUCCAGCUCUUCCUGUUCUCGUUACCCAUCUAGAAGUAGUCAUACCAGUAGCCAGUCCUCUGGCUCUAGACGACAACUUAAGCGAAAUAAUGCUCGUAGGGGACGUCACAGGUCCUCCACCAGUUCUUCGUCCUCCAGAUCAUCCCACUCAUCCAACAGCAGCACUCGGACCCGUCCCAGGUCCCGGUCACACCCGCGCUGCCAAAGAGCCUCCUCCAGCUCACGCUGCUGCCGUCAACAUCAACAGGCACAUGGACAUAGGCGCCACCGCUCACCAUCACGCUGUUACAGGGCACACUCGCGCUCCUACAGCCCUUCCUCUUCCCCAGACAGGCCAAACCGCCACAGUUCCCGCUCCAGGUCAGCCAGCUGGAGCAGGGUUCAUAGGGGGUUUGUGGGCAGGUACAAGUGCACGUUUUCUGGAUCACCCAACAGAAGCCACAAGACCUACACGAGCCGCUCCACAUCUUCAGGACAAUCAUUUGUCAGCCUCCAUAUAGAGAAAAAGGGGGAACUCAGGACUACGAAUGCCACCCAGGCACUGGGGAUGGAGCAACUGGACCUUCCUGAGAGUGUGACGCCCAUCCUGGAGGAGCAGCAACUGAAAACCGGACUAGCCACACCAGAACCAGAGGAACGGGUGAGACCAGAGCCACUCCCUCAAAAUAGUUUAUCACAGAUCUCAUGAGUUGUCUUCUCUCCACGGCCCCUCGGAUUAGGAGAAUAAGAGGGCAGUCAUGUGACUUGGGUGAUGUCAUUGCGUUUGCGUGAAAAGGUUAUCUGAUUAAUCUUAUCAUGCUCACAAUGCCAAUGCAAGAACAGUAGCAGGAAUUGUCCAGCAAUGGUACACUUAAAUUAUCUCACUGACCAAUUCAGUUUGUAAUGUCCCAAAUCCUCACCUAUGCUAUUUUCUCACACAGAUGGAUAGAUACAAUUAAAACAUACUGACAAUGCUCCACAUUGAUAGAAAUACAUUUUUAGAACUCUGAAUAUGUGUGUUUACUUACAGUUGAAAUGGGAACAUUGUUAUUUAGCAGAGUCUCCCUCCUACUCUCUGAAGAAGCGCAGGCGUUUGGACUGCGUUAUUGUGACUAUUCCUGACAAGAGAACUUUAAACAGAUGGCCAACUCCCUCCGUCCGUAUGCCAAAGAUAAGUUGGUAAUACACAAGUGGUGUUCUGGAUGGGGUUUGGAAAACUGCACCAUCAUGCCACUCAAAGGAUUUUUCUUUCUAUAGUGUUUUGUUUGUUCUUAAAGCUACCCUUGUAAAAAUCACAUAAUGAACAGAUGCCUAGCUUUGACAUCAAUGAAGCAAGGGUGCAUGGGAACUGCAGUUUGUUGAAACUAUAGACAAGUGAGCUAUUGCUCAUCUAGGAGAAUGUAUUUGUGUUGAUGGGGAGACCUGAAAUCAGCUGAUCUGAUUUUUACUCAACUGUUUUCUCUUUGCAGCAGAACAGUGACAUAGAGCCCGAGGAUGCACCAAGCCCUAAUAUGUCUCCCAAGAAAAAUAUGAUCUCAUUCAGUAUUCAUAAUUCAGUGGCCAAGCCCACAGCCAUUGUUGCUUCCACCACAUCAAAGGUAGCACACAGAGUGGAGAACUACACAGCGAGCAGGAACCCCUUUGGUCACUGGGUCCCAGUCAGAAAAACGGACCAAUCCUCCUUUUCUCGCACUUUGCUCAAACACUAACUCGCCACAUCACGCUAAUGUGUCAAGGUACAUGGACAAUGUAAAUACUGUAUAAUUUCUACAGUGGAGGUUUUGGUGAUCUGAUCUUAUGGUAGAAGAUUUCUUUCAGAUUUGAGUUAAGUGGGAAGAACAGAAUAUUUCAGAUGGGGUUACUUUUUUGGUGUCUAAUGCUGGUUAGUGAUUCAAUAAAGACACUUGAAAUUAAA